rnacentral:rRNA from 1 species
UCCCUCCAGCCUGGCUAACUGGUAUUUCUAGAACUAAUCCAUCCCUGUGGGUGCCAGCAGCUCUGGUGAUUUUAGAACCUAGAUCUAUCGCGCGUCUCAUGGCCCUAUCAGCUACUUUAGGUGGAAGUUGUAGUGCCUAUAGUAGUGACCACAGUGACUUGGAAUCCAGGUGAUGGGGAAUCUGGGUGUGUUCGGUUCCACGGAGGGAGCCUCAUAAUCACUACCCCAACCAAGGAAGGCAGCAGUCGCGCAAAUUACCUGCUCGCGACCCAGGAGAGCAGUGAUGAAAAACAACACUGGACUCUUUCGAGGUCCUGUAAUUGGAAUAAGUCCGCUUUAAAUCCUUUGAGGAGGAUCCAUUGCAGGGCAAGUCUGGUGCCGGCAGCUGCAGUAAUCCCGGCUUCAAUGCAGAGUAUUGAAUUCAGUGCAGUUAAAAUGCUUGUGCGGAUCUUCGGCGCCGCAGGAUUCUCAGCGCCCUGGCGUGUCGACCACGGGGGAGCCCCUGCCCCCGCCCCCUGCCUCUGGACGUCCUCUUGGCUCUUAGCUGAGUUUCUUUAGUCUGAAGUGUGUACUGGGAGAAAAUUAGAGUGUUCAAAGCAGGCGCCAGCUGUAUGGAUACUGUCCCUGGCAAUCGUGGAAUGAGGGCACGGUUCUAUUUUGUUUGUGUCGGAACUUUGAUAGCGGAGGCUGAUUGGGCGGAGUGGGCUGGGGCGUUGGUAUUGCACCGCUAGAGCUCAGAGUCUUAGACCGGUCAAGACGGAGCAGACACAGAGCUGUUGCCAAGGAUGUUUUCAUUAAUCAAGGAUGAAGGUGAAGGUGGGGGGUUUGAAGAGGUUCAGAUCCCCGGUAGUUCUGACUAUAAACAAUGCUGACCGCCAGCGUUGUUCCAGUGACCCGUGGACAGCUUCCGGGAAACCAAAGUCCUUCGGCUGAUGGUAGCUGAAGGGUCUAGUUCCAAAGCUGAAAUUGAAAGGCACAGCAGUGGAGUCUGCGCCUAAUUUGACUCAACUUGGGCACUCACCUGGCUCCGGCGUGGACAGGGCUGAUAAUUGAUAGCUCUUUCUUGGGUGGUGGUACAUGGCCUUUCUGCAUUGGUGGAGUGAUUUGUCUGGCUUACUGAUAACCAAGGGGUCUAGCUUGCUAACCACUUAGGGCACUCUGAGUGCUCAGUAUCCCUCAACUUCGACAGGUGGCGUUCCGCCACCCGAGAUUGAGCAUUCGCAAGUCUGUGAUGCUCUUAAAUAUCGCGGACCACGCGCAGCACCUCUCAAUGUGUGCGUACCCCAGUUCAUCGUUUGCCCGGGACCCGUUAAACCCAUUAGUGAUGGGCUUGACUUGCAAUUAUUCCCCAUUAAUGAGGAAUUACCUGUAAGAGAGUAGAUUAAAAGCCUGCAGUAAGUCCCUGCCCCUUCUACACACUGCCCAUCGCUCCUCAGAUUGCCCAGUUGGUAUCGGCACUUGGCCCUGGCAGGUCGCAAAGAAGACAGUCGAAAUAAAAGUUACAACCAGGUUUGGGUAGGUGGUCCUGCGGGAGGAGCAUUA